UGCAGGCAGGAGUGGCUUCGUGUAGCUGUUUUGUUCUUCAGAGUUGGGUGGGACACUCAGCUGUUCCCAGUUAUUUGAACGUACAGCCCUCCUUUGAUUAAAAGGCGCUGGUCUCUUAAUCCCCAUGGAGGGCAAUUCCCCACUAAAAGCUGGAGAAGUUAGCACUCUUUAAAGAACGAUCUUCUUUGAGGUUUGCAGACUCUCUCUAUUGUCCUCUUGGCUUACGCCCUUUGAAGAAGGAAGCUGCCAUAUUGGAGAGGCCCAUGAGGCAAGGAAUUGAGGGCAGGUUCUGGCCAACAGUCACUGAAGAACUGAGGCCCUUAGUCCGUCAGCCCAUGAGGAACUGCAUCCUGUCAAUGACCACGUGAGCUUGCAAUCAAAUCCUCAUCCCACUGAGCCUUGAGAUGACUCUGCUCCCAAGCAUCACCUUGACUCAGUGACCCUGAAGUAGAGGACCCAGGUACCAAAGUUGAAAGCCCCGAAUGCUCACAGAGCAGCUGGAACAAGAAUUACUGCCUGCAGGCGCUUCUGUCCACCAGCCACGUGUCAGUGAGUGGCCCUGGACCCAGCCAGGUUGUGUGUGCACCUGCGGUUCUUGCCAUGGGGAGCAGGAGCCAUUUGGCUGCUCCUCUUCAUAGGGCACCACCUGCAAUCUUUCACUGCCCAGCGUCUUCAGACUUCCAAAUAAGCCUGAAGAGGACAGGAGAGCGAGCAAUGUCUCCCUGAAUGGGACUACAGGGGACGCUGGUAACCGCACCUCAUUCAGCAACUUGAGAAACAUCAGCAAUAAUACUACAAGCAAUCGCUUAGGUACUUGACUGUGAGCAGGAAUAUGAGACAAGUGGAACACACUGGCUCUCAUUUUUUAAAGAUGAUUUCACCUUAAGAG
rnacentral:lncRNA from 1 species